rnacentral:rRNA from 1 species
UAGGGAAUCUUCGGCAAUGGACGAAAGUCUGACCGAGCAACGCCGCGUGAGUGAAGAAGGUUUUCGGAUCGUAAAACUCUGUUGGUAGAGAAGAACGUUGGUGAGAGUGGAAAGCUCAUCAAGUGACGGUAACUACCCAGAAAGGGCGGCUAACUACGUGCCAA